UACGGAGGGUGCGAGCGUUAAUCGGAAUUACUGGGCGUAAAGCGUGCGCAGGCGGUUUCGUAAGACAGAGGUGAAAUCCCCGGGCUCAACCUGGGAAUGGCCUUUGUGACUGCGAGGCUAGAGUGUGACAGAGGGGGGUAGAAUUCCACGUGUAGCAGUGAAAUGCGUAGAGAUGUGGAGGAAUACCGAUGGCGAAGGCAGCCCCCUGGGUUACUACUGACGCUCAUGCACGAAAGCGUGGGGAGCAAACAGG
rnacentral:rRNA from 1 species